UUUUGGGCCCUGCAUUACGCGUAUGGCUCCACCUAUAUGCAUUUGCGCACUUUUUACACUGAGUCAUACGCGUAUGGCCCAGGGUAGGGUGUAUGGUCCAGCUUAAGCCAACACAUAAGGCCUUUGGUUGCGUAGAGGGGGCCUGGUUGGCUGGCCUCAUACGCGUAUGGGCCUUUCCCAUACGCGUAUGAGCAUAAACUUGAAUUUCGCCUCCCUCCCGCUAUUACGCAUAUGAUGGGAGGUGAUGUUGAAUGGCCAUACGCAUAUGAGAUGACUCAUACACAUAUGGGCAGGAAACAUGCAUUUUAUCUCUUUUUCUCCUGCUCAUGCAUUGUCGUCUGAUUUCUUCUCUAAUCCAGCUCCUCUUUACUCUUAAGCCCUGUAAACACAUGAAACACUACCUCAAGCGCGUAAAAUAGCUCAAAACUACUAAAACCUUACCAGAUCAAGUUUCUAUAAAAAUCUACCAAAAUAAGCUGAAACUACUGCCCAAACUCACAAUAAUUCACAUGCUUUUAACAUUCAAAUGACAUCAAAACUAACACAAAUGGUGAUUGGUCAUUUUUUAAGUAAUAUCUAUCUAAAUUCAAGUAACUCUCUGAUCUUGUGAAACCUCACAUCUAUAUGCUUGGUUCUGGGAUGAUAUACCUUAUUGUUUAUCAAAUAAAUGGCACUCUAACUAUCACAUUACAAUCAAGUUCCACUUUACUCAAUACCUAAUUCUCUCACCAAUCUUGUAAUCCAUAAGGCUUCUUUGGCAGCUUCACCUGCUACCAUGUACUUUACUUCACUUAUUAACAUGGCCUAUAUGAAUUGAACCAAUGAUUUCCAACAAAUAGUCAUCAUGCUAAAGUAAAUACAUGCCUUAUUAUAGACCUUAUAUCAUCCAUAUCACCAACAUAGUCUGAAUCAACAUAUCCUACAAUUAAAGGAUCACCUUUGUUCACUACUAAACAUGAUACCAUAACUCAUAGUACCCUUUAAGUACAUGAAAAUCCACUUGACAACUUUCCAAUGACAAUUUCCUGGUUUGGACAUAAACUUACAAACUUGACUUACAACCUGUGCCAAAUCUAGUAUAGUGUAUACCAUAAUGUAUAUUAUACAACCAACAACUAGCAUAAGGGACAUUUGACAUGUACUCAGAUUGUUCAUAUGUCUUUGGACACUUAUCCAAUGAGAGCUUAAAGUGAUUUGCCAAUGGAUUACUCAUAGCCUUCGAAUUACUCAUGUCAAACUUGUCUAACACCUUUUUAACAUAGCUUUUCUGCGAGACCCAUAAUUUUCUAGCACUCAUAUCCCUGUAAAUUUCCGUACCGAGAAUCUUCUUAGUAAUACCUAAGUCUUUCAUGUCAAACUCAUUUCCCAACACGAUUUUCAGUUCAUUUUUAUCAUGUAAAUGAUUAGUAACAAUCAAUAUAUUAUCAACAUACAGUAACAGGAAAAUAAAAGAGCCAUCAUCAAGGAUUCUAACAUAAACACAAUGGUCAUACUGAUACCUUAUGUAGCUAAUCUUAAGCAUGUAUGAAUCAAAGAUCUUGUACCAUUUUCCUUGUAGAUUUAUUUAAACCAUACAUAUACCUCUUCAAUUUAUAAACUAGUCUUCCAUAUUCAGUUUCACAGAAUCCCUCUGGCUGUCCCAUGUAAAUUUGUUCAUCUAAAUUACCGUGAAGAAAUGUUGUCUCCACAUUCAUCUACUUUAAAUGCAUGUCUCGGCUAGCUACCAAGACUACUUCCCUGGUAUAAGUAUUUCUAACAAGCAGAGAUAAAAUGUCAUCAUAAUAAAUCCCUUAUAUUAUGAGUACCCCUUUACUACAAGACAAGCCUUGAACUUUUCCAUUUGUUUUUCUAUUACUGUUGGUUUUCUCUUGAACACCCAUAUACAAACAUGACCAUUUUUCCUUAAGAAGCUGAGCAAGCUCCCAUGCCUGAGUUUUCUUCAAGAACUCUAUCUCAUCCACCAUUGCACUCAUCCACUUAUAUUUAUCCUAUAUAACUAUAACCUAUCUAAAGGUAUAAAGGUCUCCAUAACUAGUAAUAAGUGCAUAGUCUGCCAAGUCUUCAUACCCAUAUCUUUCUAGUGAUUUGGUUAAAUUAUGCUCUCUUUCACAUACAAGAAUAAAAUCAUAUACUCCACCUAAAACUUUAGGUUCGUGGCCAACUUCAGUAUCAGAGUCUGGUUCCUCCUGUUGUUCAGGCACUACAUGUAUAUUGUUCAGUGGUUCCUUUUGUUUCUUGGAAGCAUCUCUUUUAGAUGUUGAUGCAUUUGUUGCAAGUGUAUGCUUCAACAUUAAAUGUUCAUAAAAAAAUCAUAUAUUUGUUUAUUACCAUCUUUCUUUUAGUCGAAUCUCAUAAGUUAAACCUCUUUACAAAUUUUGUGUAACCAAUAAAGACAUACUUCUUCGACUUUUGGUCAAGUUUGGAUCUAUCUUCACUGAAUAUAUGCAUAUAAGUUGGACACCCAAAAAUCCUGAAAUUAUCAAGAUUAAUAGAAUAACAUGUGUGAGAAUAUGUUCAUCAUCAAUCAUAGCUUUGUUUUGAUGAAAAUAAAAGCUUAUCUUAGUAGAAAGAUCAUAGAAGAUAAAGAUUGGAAUCAAAGUUUAAAGUUGCAUGAGCUUUGAAAUUAAGUUGAUUGGAUGAUUGGUCAAGGUACUUUAAUGGAAAUUCAUAUGUUUAUAUAAUAUUUAUAUGCUCAAGAAACUUCAUCUCAUCUUCUCUAAAGAUUUCCCAAUCAUUCAUGUUGCAUGCUCUUUCAAAUCAUGCAUUUUAAAAGGAAAAUUUUCAAAAAAUCACAUAAGUUGAACGAGUUGCAUAAAAAGUGCAACCGACUGCAUUUUGAGUAUGUCCAAGCAUUUUCAACGUGAUUUGUAAAAGCGGACCUGUUUGAAGAAAUUACGCAACUGGUUACACUUUCUGCAACGUUCACUUUUUCAAGGCAUUUUUCAAAAGUGCAAUAAGUUGCAAUAUUUAUGCAACUAGUUGCAUCUGAAACUUCUUGAAAAUUCUGAAACUUUUAGAUACUUCUUCAAUGCAACGAUUCAUCAUAACUUUUUCAAAUCAUUGUUAUAUGAAUCAUGACCAUUUUCAUUAAACAUUGUUAUUGUUUAAAGAGGUAUUUCCUUUUCUAUUUAAACCAGAUUUAUCAAUUUAAAAUUAUCUUUUCCACUCAAAUUUGUACACCAAUAAAUUUGUUUUACAUGAAACUUUUUCUACAAAACUUUCAUAUCAGUAAGAAAAGUUCCUAAGCAAUCUAGAUAUAUUAUAUUUGAAUUUUUUUAUUGAAAUGGGAGAUCAAUCUCUAUACAUAAAUGGAUUCAAGUGCAACAACUAUUCUCAUAUAUUCAUAUUUGUUUAUAAUUUUUAUUUGAUCACCAAGUGCGCGAGGAGUUGUUUUGUAAAUAGAAAGUGGUGUGCUUUAUAGUUUUUGUGAUCAUCAAAGUGUUUUUGUGUUUUUGGUGAAAUAUCCUUUGAAUCAGGGUGAUUUCAAAGUCCAACAUAGGUUUGGUGUUUGUGAAAUCAAUGAAGUGGUUUGCUUCUUUGUUAUUGUUAGAAGAUUGUAGGAUGAUUCUUGGUGUGAGGCCUGUACAAAGAUCUAACAAUAAUGAAAAUCUCUUAGAGAGUGUAAGGGGACUAGAUGUACCCUUAGUUGAUAAAGGGAACUAGUAUACAUCAUUUAAAUUUUGCACUUUAAUUCAAAGUUCAUACACUUAUUUUUGGAAAAAUAAGAACAUAAGAACCAUAUCUUUAAUAGUCUAAAAUAACGGAAAAUCUAAUUCACCCCCUUUAGAUCGCACUCAAUACUUACAUUUGGCAUCAAAGCAUGUUAUAAGUAACCUAUUCCUAAAGAUCUAAAAAUGGCUUCUGCAAAUCCAAUUUUUAUAGACGACGGUAGUAACAACAAACCUCCUUGUUUUGUUGGAUAAUAUUACGAUUUUUAGAAAAUUUGCAUGAGAGCGUAUCUUAAGGCAUAAGGCGAUGAUAUUUGGGAUGUUAUAGAAAAUGGUUCGUUCGUUCCCACAAGUGUUGUCACUGACGUUGGUACAUUCAAGACCAAAAGUGCCUGGGAUGAAAACGAUAAUAAAAAAAUUCUCUAUGACAAGAAGGCAAAUAACAUGCUUUAUAACUCUGAUUGGUACAUUAACACCAAUUAAUAAACUUUAAUUGAUUUUUAAUCCCGUUAUAAGUUAAAAAAGAAAAAGACGUUCCUUCAUAACUCUAAUGUUUUCUGAACACUUCUCACAAAUUGAUAAAAUAUCAUUUAUAAUUUACAAAUGCAAAACUCGAACUAGAGCCUCCAAUUCCUCGCCAAUGAUGUUCACAUUGUACAAACCAACAUCAAUUGAUGCCUUCAGCAAAACAUUCAGAUCUUUUGCUGCAAUCACAAACAAAAAUAACGAUAAAUAGUCUCCUUGGUGCAAACCCAUCCCUAAUGCAAACUCAUUUGUAAGACUACCAUUGACUAAGGUUGGCGCUGACGUUGAAACAUAAAUCAUGCAUUCCAUGAUUCAUUUUCUCCAUUUAAUUAAGAACCCCAUUUUACCCAUCAAUGUGUUCAAAUAUUUCCAUUCAAUUGAAUCAAGUUCUUUUUUGAAAUCUACUUUGACUAUAAUAUUUUUUUUACUAUUUAGCAUUAUCUGCCACCUCAAUUGACACAAGUAUACCACUUCACAAAUCACCUUCUCAAUAACUAAUUUAAAGUAGUUCUCCAAAAUUUAUGCAAACAUCUAACUAAAGAGAUUGUCCUAUCAAUAAUCACUCUUUGAGGACUAGUUACUCUAUGAAUUAACACUACAAAUAUGGAGUUAGAACCUUUGAAUAACUUCCCAUUUGAAUAAAGUUACAAAUACAACCUCAUAAGGGCUCCUUUAAUUUAUGUCCAGAAGUGUUUUAAAAAACUAAAAUUAAUUAAGUCAAGAUCUUAUAUUUUAAAACUAUCACGAUCUCAAACAUUUUAUUUUGCCACUUCCUCCUGACUAAAUAUUCUUUCCAUCAUGUAUGCUCAUUAGAGAUGAGGGAGAGGAAAUAGAGAUUUUCAAGACUUCAUCUAACUUAAUUAACCAGUUUAAAGUGAUUCUCAAAAUGAUUUAAAACUACUACACAAACACAUGUGACACCAUCCACCCAAGCUCCAUUAGCAUUUAAGUCGAGUAAUGGAUUUCUCCUCUUCCUACUGACAUGACAUGGAGAUUUUUUUUGAGUCCACAUAUCCAUCUUUAAGCCUUUGCACACAAGCCUUCUUCCAUUACAUACUACAAUUCAAUCUUGAUAGUGAAAAAGUUUAACAUGACACAUACCAAAUUUCUUCCUAUUUUAUAGCAAUGAGUAUGUCCACCUCCCCCUUACUAUCUAGGACAAACAUUCUCUUUUUUAGCUUCUUUUAGUCUUCCUUCAAUAUUCCUUCCAUGUUGUAAAUGUCACUUUCCUUUUACCAAUUUAAUUUUCUCCUUCAAAACAUACAAACCUUAUCUAAAUAUAUUGAAUAAACACCAUUUCUCAGUAACACGCUCUUUAUAACUCAAACAAAUCUGACCAACAAUUUAACUUGCGGAAAAGUUUAGGAUCCUAAUCCACCUUAUCCAUAGACAACAAGAUAUGACAAUGUACUUUAUUUGGUCACAAAAAAUAUCAUUCGUCGAUUAAAAGAAUUAUGUCGAAUCGACUCACCAACACCUCAUCACCUUGAAAGCAAGUGAAACAUCUCCUUUUAAUAGGCAAGUCAACCAACAUAGCAUCUUGAAUAGAAUUAUUGAUGUUUCAGAUGUAUUCAUUUAUCACAAAUUUACCUUUACCCUUCUCAUCAAAUUAUAUCUCGAUUGGAUUGAAAUUACCACACACACCCUAAAGGACUUUUAUGAUUACUAAUAUAAAUGCUGAUAUAAACGUUAGCCACAUAAAACAAUUGCUCCACCUUGUUGAAAUACCUGUAAACACAAUUAACACGUGGUAAAAAAUAACCAAUGAUAUCACAUCCAUAAAAUUAGAAUCUCAUAAUACUAAAAUGCAUUCUGGCCGAGGGCUUAAAAAAAGUUCAUCCCUAAAUUACCCUCAAUGUCGUCGCUAAAAACUCCUCUAUCACUUCUAAUUUCGUCUUUUAAAGGCACACACAAUCAAACUUUUUAUCUUUAAUUAAACUUAAAGUUUUAUUCUAUUUUGCCACCCCGAUAACUCUAAUGCUAUAACUAAUUAUCUCCUUUGUUUCCACAUCACAGAUAUACACACCACCCCAUACACAACUAACCACAUCCUACUGACUUCACCUUCCAAGCACCCCUUUUAAUUUUUUUAAACUAUUUUCUACUCCCUAAUAAUAUUUCUCCCUCCUUUAAAAUUAACGAAAAAAUGAUCUCUAACUCGUCAAACAUCAUUUAGUACAACCUCUUUGUCAUCAUGGAUUAUUCAGAUUUCCACUUUUAAACAAAAGAAAUUAACUCGAAUAAAGUGUCAUUCAUCUUAAAUAGAAGUUGACUUACUUAUUUCUUUGAUUUACAAUCUUAUAAUAUGUUGGGGUGUUCAAAACUGAGUCGGUCCAAUAGAAAACCAAUAAUUUUCUCUUUCUUACACUUAAGAUUUCAAUUUCAACAUUCUCUAAUCUCUUCAAAUAGUAUCACAUAUGCUACUAUAAUGGUGUAAUGUAAUGUACUAAUACUAUUGUCUAGAAUUCCGUUUUGCUUUGUAAUACACAUUGUAAUUUUGUUAUUUAAAUUCUUUUAUUAUUUGAUGUUGAAAUGAUGUUUGACAUUAUUAUUUAUUAUUCGAUAAUGUACAAAUGAUUAAAUAUAAAAUUAUAUUAUUUUAUAUAUAUAAUUCAAUAAAAAUCUAAUAAACAUUUGAAUGAAUCCAAAUCAAAUAAUAUUGCAAUUUAAAUGUCCGAACACUAACUUAUAAGCCGCAAAUGUUACAGUAUUCGUCUUCAAUUAUUAUUUACACAUAGUCGUUACUAAUAGUACUACUACUAUAUUUUAUCAUUUGAGGCGUUAAAAAUAGUUACGUUAAUACACCAAAGGUACGGAAAAAUAAAUCCAUUAAAUUUACUAAUCAUUUUCUUAUAAUAAGUGGGGAAGAGUGCUUAUAGUAAUUAAGGACUAAGAGAAUACAUUAAUGAAUAGAAUCUUAUAAACGAAUCCCAAGUUUAAUCCCAAAAGCAAAAAAAGUAGUAUAAAACUGUCAUUAGUUAACUUAUAAUCAAAUUAUUCCACGUAUAUAUACUACCUUUUAUUUUAUAUUUUAUAUUCACGUCUAAAUACUCUGGAUUAUACGCAAGGAAUAGAUUACACAUAAAUGUGCCUAAUAUAAACGAUUACACAUAAAUGCUAGACGAAAAAUAUUUAAAGCAAACCCAAAAAAAAGAAGAAAAAGAUUACAAGUAAAUAAUGUUGCGUGUUUUUGGAUCUGUUUAAUAAUGAUAAGGCGGUAUAUAUAUAAUGAAAGAGAGAUACAAAUACAAAGCUGGCAAAUGAAGUAAAGUUAGCAACAACAAUCCAAACAGUUUGGACCCAACCGGAAUUAGCGCUCUUCUUCUCCAUUCACAAUUGCUUCUUCCCAAAUCAUCAACAAUCCCACUCACCAAAAACCCUAAUUCUCCAUUUUCCUCUCACAAUUCACGAUCGGAUUCGUUGAGAACGGGAAAAUUCAAUUCAGCCGUCGGCGAUCUGGUUCAUCUGUUGAUCUGUUGGUUGUUGGUUCGAUCGGCAUUACUCGAUCUUGUUCCGGAAUUGUGCGAUUCAGACGCGGAUUUUGUUUUCAGAUCAGCGGAUUAUUUCAAUGCUUGUAGGUGUAGCUAAGAUUCAUGGUAUUACGAUAGGUUAUGGUGUUUAUAAUUACGAUUUAGUUUGAUUUUUGGAAAUCUCGCUUUCUGUACGUUGAAUUCAGUGGGAGUUUCACGAUUUUGGACAUGAGAAGCUCUUUGUCGAAUAAAUUGUGGAUGAUUCUCGGCCCUAAACCGCCAGUGAACUGGUUGAUAUUGUGCGUGAUUAGUGUUCUGGCUUUGAUUAUAGUGUUGGGUUCGUCGUCUUCCAAUGCUAUUGAUUCCUCGCCGAGGAGACCGGCUUCUCUUAUCUAUACAAACUACAGGAGGAUAAAAGAGCGGGUGGCAGUUGAUUAUUUGGAGCUGAAAUCUGUUUCGACCGGUGGUUUGAGGCAAAGGGAGUUAGGGCUUUGUGGAAAAGAAAGGGAAAAUUUCGUGCCAUGCCAUAAUAUCACUGCCAAUUCGGCGUCAGGAUUUGAGCAGGGGGAGGAGCUGGAUCGGCACUGCCAAGUGUUGAAGGAAGAAGAUCAAUGUUUGGUUCGUCCUCCCAAGGAAUAUAAAAUUCCCUUGCGCUGGCCCAGUGGCAGAGAUAUUAUAUGGAGUGGGAAUGUGAAGAUAACCAAAGAUCAAUUUCUUUCGUCCGGAAGUAUGACCAAAAGGUAAUUACUUACUUUAGAUGCAUUGUAAUUGGUAAAUUUGUGAAAAAUUGUCACCGAAAUUUGUAACCCUUGUAAGUUGUAACUAUUGAUUGAUUGAUUGAAUGUUUUUUAAUUUUGGAUGAUAGACUGCUCUAGUGAAAGUAAUGUAGUUUUUUUUUUUAUCAGUUCUUUCUGGGCUGUGAUUCCUAAAAUUGUUGAUAUGGUUUAUCUAGGUUGAUGCUACUAGAAGAGAAUCAAAUUGCCUUUCACUCAGAGGAUGGUAUGAUCUUUGAUGGUGUGAAAGAUUACUCUCGCCAAAUUGCAGAGAUGAUAGGGCUAGGAAGUGAUACAGAGCUUCCUCAAGCUGGUGUAAGUCUUCCAUUCACCAUAUUCGAGCAAUUGUUGUUUUCUGGGGAUUCAUAGUGUUUUACGAGGACAGGGUUUAUGCAUAAUAGAGUACUGUAAGGAAGAUUAUGCUAUUAAGCUACCUAUAUCCUCUUCUUGAUUCUCAUCAAGGACUGUGGUCUUUAGGUUGCAUAAUAUAUGUUACUGAUCUAUUUAGCUCAUAAUAUAACAGGUUCGAACAACGCUGGACAUUAAUUGUGGAUUUGGUAGCUUUGGAGCUCAUUUGUUGUCACUUAACAUAAUGGCGGUUUGUGUUGCGGGAUAUGAGGCAACUGGCAGCCAAGUUCAAUUGUCUCUUGAGAGAGGCCUUCCUGCCAUGAUUGGCAACUUCAUUGCAAGACAGCUUCCGUAUCCAUCAUUAUCAUAUGACAUGAUUCACUGUGCUCAAUGUGGCAUCAUUUGGGAUGAAAAGGGUAACUUUAUAGUUAUGAGCAUUACUCUUUCAUUCUUAGCUGAAUGGAUUUCCUUAUAGACUUCAUAAAGCUCAACCCUCUUUGUCAGUAUGGUAUUUUACAUACAAACAGAUUCAUAUGUCAUAUUUUUUGUAAAAUUAAUAUUUUAAAUUUAAGUUGUAGUAUUUGUCAAAGCUUGUAUUUGAUGACAAAUAAGAUAGAAAAAGGUGUAGCGUGUAUGUAUUUAUUAAUAUCUUGCUUAUAGCAUAAAUAUGUUUGGAUUUAUUAAAUCACAGGUGUUUUGUUUUAAUUAAUUUGUUUUUCACCAAUCAAAUCGAUGAUCUAAACAGAUGUACAAAAUCUUUCUAUAACAAUGAAUUAAUGAUGCCGCUCUAUUUUCUUCCAUUCACUCUAUAUUACUGUCAUUUCCUUUUUUCACCCUUCCCUGACUAUUCUAUAACAUACUGGAUAUUGUUUAGCUUCUGUAUCAAAUGCUGCACUUUGGUCUCUAAUAUUGACUUUAUCCUACAGAUGGAAUGUUCCUCAUAGAAGUUGACCGUGUUCUUAAACCCGGAGGAUAUUUCGUUUUAACAUCACCUACAAGCAAGCUACCGGGUUCAUCGCGGGAGAAAAAGAGAAUCACGUUGAAUCCUUUGCAAGAGCUGACCCAGGAACUAUGUUGGACGCUUCUAGCCCAGCAAGACGAGACUUUCGUCUGGCAGAAGACUGCUGACCUGAAUUGUUAUGAAUCACGGUAAGGAUAUUCGUAUUAGUGUAGGUGAUAUUAAUGGUAAAUGUUGAUUAUCAAUAGAUUGUUUAUUCAAGAUGACUAGUAGUAUCAAGUAUACUAUCAACUAUUGCUAGUUAUGAUAUUGUCUCUCUCUGUUGAUCACUGACUACAAUAGUAUAACCUCUAGCUUUUCUGUGAUAUUUGUUUCUUUAUUGCAGCAAGCAGCAUACUAUUCAACUAUGUAAAGAAGGGGAUGAUACUCAAUCAUACUAUAAGCCUCUUGUGUCAUGUAUAAGUGGGACAUCUAGCAAGCGCUGGAUUGCAAUACAGAACCGAUCCUUUGAUUCUGAAUUGAGUUCAGCUGAGCUUGAAAUUCAUGGAAAGUAUUAUUUCUUAGAAGCUUUCUGCUUACAAUUUACAUGCUCUUCAUUCCCUGAUAUUUUCCCCCAUUUUAUUCUGCUUUUCCUUUUCAUGAAUUUCCCUUAAUUAUUGCAGGAGUUCAGCCUGAAGACUUUUACGAAGACAUGCAUUUCUGGAGAUCAGCUGUUAGUAAUUAUUGGUCCCUGCUUACACCACUAAUUUUCUCUGACCAUCCAAAGAGACCUGGAGAUGAAGAUCCAUUGCCUCCAUAUAAUAUGAUUCGGAAUGUUAUGGAUAUGUAUUCUAGUUAUGGGGGUUUGAAUGCUGCACUGCUGGAGGAGAAAAAGUCAGUGUGGGUCAUGAAUGUUGUUCCUGCCAGGGCUACUAAUGCACUUCCUCUCAUACUAGAUAGAGGUUUUACAGGUGUUAUGCAUGACUGGUAAGUUGCUAUUUGUUCAUGAUGUAGACAAGUUGUUGUGUAUGAUCCAGACAAAGUUUCUCUAUGAUUUAAAAGUUGACUGGAGAUAAGAUUAUUUUGGCCGAGGGUGCUAAACCGAUAAUACCACUAGAGCCUGAUAAAUGUAUUUCUCUUGCAUCAUCACUGGCAAUGCUUAUGACAAACAACAAAACAGUAGUUGCUAGUUGGAAAAGUAACACUAAUUUUAGUUAAUUUACUUCAAAAGAUAUUGAUAUUCAUGAUUAUUUUAUUGCUGAAAAUGGUUCAGCAGUGUUUGGUAAAAAGUGUGCAAAAUAAUCCCCUAGCAACUUCUUGUUUUGUAAAAAUUACAUGACAUUUAAUGCAAGACUCAUUAGUUUCAUCAAUAUGUCAAUAAUUUCCUUUAGUAAACAUACUACAUGUACGGUGCUGAAGUUUCAGUACCACAUCUUAUGUUUCUUUUAUCCAAAUCACUCUUAGCUUUCUUAAUUUUGUUUUCCUUUUGAGAAUGAAUUUGAAGCUAAAUGUAGCAUUCACCUGAUUUCUUGGAUUGAAAUUCCACCUAUUUUAGUGCAAAACCCAAUUCUAAAGAAAAUCUUCUGCAGUUUUGUAGUUCCAUCUCUAAAUUUUCUUUUCUUUGGAAUUCAUUGACAAAGCUCUUUGUAAAAUAAUGUUAAUUCGUAUGAGCUUCGAGCUAGUUGUUUUGUUUCUAACUAUUGAUUUAUUGAUAUUCAGGUGUGAACCUUUCCCCACCUACCCGCGGACAUAUGAUAUGCUUCAUGCAAAUGGACUUCUGUCACAGUUCAUUUCAGAACGAUGCAGCCUGAUGGACUUAUUCUUGGAGAUGGAUAGGAUACUACGACCAGAGGUAUGAUCAUGGUGUUUGUAUUCCUUUACACAAUUGUGCUUUAAAGUUUCAUCAUUGAUUUUAUUAAGAUUUAGCAGAACAUUGAUCUGGUACUUUCCGUCCUCUUCCUUUCUGACCCUUUUUUUGGCACAACCUCCACAAAGGAUGAUCUCAUCUUGGCAGAUGAUUGUUUAGAAGCCAGUUGACUCUAAUGAAGCAGGCUCAUUGUUGUUAUGAUUCCCAUAUGAAAUACUAUGUUGAAUUUGUGUGUUUUUUUAUACAACUAGUUGUCGAUUUCCGUGUAAUUUAAAAGGUCUAUGAAGCCUAAUUUAUUAUUACACUUAAUUAUUUUUGUAGGGAUGGAUCAUUCUUUCUGACACAGUGGGAACAAUUGAAAUGGUACGCACGCUUGCAACUCAAGUACGCUGGGAAGCAAGGAUAAUCGAUCUUCAGAAUGGCAGUGACCAGCGGUUACUUGUAUGCCAGAAACCAUUUUUGAAAAAAUGAUUGGACACUAAUAUAUUUCACCAAUCACCAUGACAGAUGAACACAAUUUUUUUGCUCUGGUAAUUUCUCUAGACUCUUUUUCUCUUUCUACAACAUGGUAAAUUUUCUUGUUUUGGUAAAUAUAGGUAGCAUUUAAGUUAAGUAUAAAAUUAAAUAUUAUGGUUGCAAUAAAAGAAACUUGUGCAAUUCAUGCCGGAAGCAAGGUUCAUGAUGUGGAUUCCUUUAGGGACCAGUCAUGUUUAUUUUGUGAGGGCUCUAUAGUGGUCCUAUAUGUCUCAUCCUGUAAUAUUGUUGGAUCAAAAGCGUCCAUGAUAACUCAAGUCUUCCUAGAAACUCAGCAAUUCAGAUAAUGGUGUUUAUAUUGACAGCUAUGGAUUUGCGUAGCUAUAACAUACAUCUGAAAUAAUGUCACUAUUUAUACAAUUUCAGGGAAUGGAUUGUUUUAAUUGGGACGUGUAUAUAUAGAGCUCAGAGCCUUGACUUCAAUAUUUACCACAACUGGGUCUAGAUAUUGAAGCUGUAGAUUGUGAAGGUUCAUGUUGAAUUUAGUUACAGUUAAUUUUUUUUUUGUCAAUGUUUGUAGUAAUUCAUUCAUCCAAUAUCUUGUUAGCAUUUCUUUUAUUAUUCUUUAUUUCUUUUUUGAUCAUUGAACUUCUAGCAUUUAUGUUGAACAAUCACAAGUUUUUGAGAAAGAAAGUGAAUGGCCGUGAAAUUCAAGAAUGAACUUGAGAUAGUA
rnacentral:lncRNA from 1 species